AUUGAACGCUGGCGGCAUGCCUUACACAUGCAAGUCGGACGAGUGGCGAACGGGUGAGUAACGCCUCGGAACGUACCUAGUAAUGGGGGAUAACUGUCCGAAAGGAUAGCUAAUACCGCAUACUAUUCGAUCUGCCGAUGUCUGAUUAGCUUGUUGGUGGGGUAACGGCCCACCAAGGCGACGAUCCGUAGCGGGUCUGAGAGGAUGAUCCGCCACACUGGGACUGAGACACGGCCCAGACUCCUACGGGAGGCAGCAGUGGGGAAUUUUGGACAAUGGGCGCAAGCCUGAUCCAGCCAUGCCGCGUGUCUGAAGAAGGCCUUCGGGUUGUAAAGGACUUUUGUCAGGGAAGCGGUACCUGAAGAAUAAGCACCGGCUAACUACGUGCCAGCAGCCGCGGUAAUAC
rnacentral:rRNA from 1 species